AUUCCGGUUGAUCCUGCCGGAGGUCAUUGCUAUUGGAGUCCGAUUUAGCCAUGCUAGUUGUACGAGUUUAGACUCGUAGCAGAUAGCUCAGUAACACGUGGCCAAACUACCCUAUGGAUCAGAACAACCUCGGGAAAC
rnacentral:rRNA from 1 species